rnacentral:rRNA from 1 species
AGUGAACGCUGGCGGUAGGCCUAACACAUGCAAGUCGAACGGCAGCACAGGAGAGCUUGCUCUCUGGGUGGCGAGUGGCGGACGGGUGAGGAAUACAUCGGAAUCUACUCUGUCGUGGGGGAUAACGUAGGGAAACUUACGCUAAUACCGCAUACGACCUACGGGUGAAAGCAGGGGACCUUCGGGCCUUGCGCGAUUGAAUGAGCCGAUGUCGGAUUAGCUAGUUGGCGGGGUAAAGGCCCACCAAGGCGACGAUCCGUAGCUGGUUUGAAAGGAUGGUCAGGCACAAUGGAACUGAGACACGGUCCAGACUCCGACGGGAGGCAGCAGUGGGGAAUAUUGGACAAUGGGAGCAAGCCUGAUCCAGCCAUACCGCGUGGGUGAAGAAGGCCUUCGGGUUGUAAAGCCCUUUUGUUGGGAAAGAAAUCCAGCUGGCUAAUACCCGGUUGGGAUGACGGUACCCAAAGAAUAAGCACCGGCUAACUUCGUGCCAGCCGCCGCCGUAA